AGCAAGCACCGGCUAACUCUGUGCCAGCAGCCGCGGUAAGACAGAGGGUGCAAACGUUGUUCGGAAUCACUGGGCGUAAAGCGCGUGUAGGCGGCACGGCAUGUCGGAUGUGAAAUCCCAUGGCUCAACCAUGGAAGUGCACCCGAAACUGCCGAGCUCGAGUCUCGGAGAGGAAGGUGGAAUGCUUGGUGUAGAGGUGAAAUUCGUAGAUAUCAAGCGGAACACCGGUGGCGAAGGCGGCCUUCUGGACGAUGACUGACGCUGAGACGCGAAAGCGUGGGGAGCAAACAGGACUAGAUACCCUGGUAGUCCACGCCGUAAACGAUGAGUGCUAGGUGUCACGGGCUUUGACCCUCGUGGUGCCGAAGCUAACGCGAUAAGCACUCCGCCUGGGGAGUACGGCCGCAAGGCUAAAACUCAAAGGAAUUGACGGGGGCCCGCACAAGCGAUGGAUGAUGUGGUUUAAUUCGAUGCAACGCGAAAAACCUUACCUACCCUUGACAUGCCAGGAAUCCCAUAGAGAUAUGGGAGUGCUCGAAAGAGAACCUGGGCACAGGUGCUGCAUGGCCGUCGUCAGCUCGUGUCGUGAGAUGUUGGGUUAAGUCCCGCAACGAGCGCAACCCUUGUCAUUAGUUGCUACGAAAGGGCACUCUAAUGAGACUGCCGGUGACAAACCGGAGGAAGGUGGGGAUGACGUCAAGUCAUCAUGGCCCUUACGGCCAGGGCUACACACGUACUACAAUGGUGGGGACAGAGGGUCGCGAAGCCGCGAGGUGGAGCCGAUCCCAGAAACCCCAUCCUAGUCCGGAUCGGAGUCUGCAACUCGACUCCGUGAAGUCGGAAUCGCUAGUAAUCGCAGAUCAGCAUUGCUGCGGUGAAUACGUUCCCGGGCCUUGUACACACCGCCCGUCACACCAUGGGAGUUUGCUGCACCAGAAGCAGGUAGCUUAACCGCAAGGGGGGCGCUUGCCACGGUGUGGCCGAUGACUGGGGUGAAGUCGUAACAAGGUAGCCGUAUCGGAAGGUGCGGCUGGAUCACCUCCUUUCU
rnacentral:rRNA from 1 species